CCCCGCGCGGCCCGUCCUUUCCUUAUCUUUCGCUCGUCUCUCCCACCCCACGCAAGUUUAUCUACUCACCAGCGUCCCCCAUGUCCGCCUCCUCCUCAUCUUCCAUCCCCGUCCAGCCAUGCCCACCGAUCUCCCCCUUCCAUUCAUCCUGUGCCCCAUCUGCAGCGACCAACUGGUGACCAAUGUAGCUGGGAGGGGGGAAAAAACCGGACACCAUUUCUACUAGUGCGGCGGAUACGAUUCCCGCAGUGUCGUUUCUUCGAUUUCCAGGAGUAUGUCAAAAGUGGCCGUAUGCAUCUCCCAGAUGCAGAGGCCGGGGGUCAUCCUCCUUUUCUAAAAAAAAAGGAGUAUGUCAAAAGGUCCACCCCUCACCAGAUCUACCGAGCUCAACAGGACGCCAUGCUGCAGCAAGGAAACAACUGCGCCAGAUACUUGUUGGCGGCAACCAGCCGCCGUUCCAACCUGCGCAGCCAGCGAUACCAGCACCGGUGAGUCAGGUCUUCAAGCCGGGUGCCGCCGUUGCCACAGCCACCAGCUCUCAACUGCUCCCUGCCGCAGCUAUUCUGUUAGCGGCUACCAAUCUGAUGAUUACAGUGCUCGUUCUGUUCUUUGUUGUGCCCAUGUACUUUACAUCCUUGAAUUAGAUAUAUUCAAUGGUGUGUACUUAGUGCGUCCUGCCAACCCUUUGUGAGGGAUCAUGUAGUCCAGAGUUAUCAUAAGCCUGUUUGCUUAAUGCUGCACGAGUAUGUUGUAUGAUAAAACAUAAUGUAUUAUGCUUUCGGGAUGUUAAAUGAGUCAUUGUAUCAGCUCGUUUGACACCAAAGUUCUCAUUUUAUUUGGUGGAAAUGAAAUAAAAGACAUCCCAUAAAGGAUAUCAUUUGGUGGGAUUCAUGGA